GAUGGUGCUGCUGAAAUUUCUGAAGUUGUUUCCAAAUAUCUGAAUAGACCAGCCUGCUUGGACCGACCACUCAACAAGCUUAAACAUGUGACCUUUAGCUUCGUGUGGGCUUCAGAAAGUGGAUUGGCUUUCACAAAAUUAUUUCUCUCUCGCGCUCCACCUUUGGUAAGGAUUCUCACGCAUGGUUACAAAAGCAGUGGUUGCGAGGAAGAGUUGC
rnacentral:lncRNA from 1 species